AGAGUUUGAUCUGGCUCAGAACGAACGCUGGCGGCGUGGAUAAGACAUGCAAGUCGAACGCUGAAUACGGGGUAGCAAUAUUCUGUAUUCGGAGUGGCGCAAGGGUGCGUAACACGUGGGUAAUUUGCCAUGAAGUUUGGGAUAACUUGCUGAAAGGCGAGCUAAUACCGGAUGUGACUUUUGGGAGGCAUCUCCUGAAAUUCAAAGUUGGGGACCGUAAGGCCUGACGCUUUAUGAUAAGCCCGCGACCUAUCAGCUAGUUGGUAAGGUAACGGCUUACCAAGGCUAAGACGGGUAGCUGGUCUGAGAGGACGACCAGCCACACUGGAACUGAGACACGGUCCAGACACCUACGGGUGGCAGCAGUCGAGAAUUUUUCUCAAUGGGCGAAAGCCUGAAGGAGCGACGCCGCGUGGGGGAUGAAGGGCUUCGGCUCGUAAACCCCUGUCAUUUGCGAACAAACCUUCCGACCUAACACGUCGGAAGCUGAUUGUAGCAGAAGAGGAAGGGACGGCUAACUCUGUGCCAGCAGCCGCGGUAAUACAGAGGUCCCAAGCGUUGUUCGGAUUCACUGGGCGUAAAGGGUGCGUAGGUGGUGAGGUAAGUCUGAUGUGAAAUCUCCGAGCUCAACUCGGAAAUGGCAUCGGAAACUACCCCGCUAGAGGUUUGGAGGGGGGACUGGAAUUCUCGGUGUAGCAGUGAAAUGCGUAGAUAUCGAGAGGAACACCAGUGGCGAAGGCGAGUCCCUGGACAACACCUGACACUGAGGCACGAAAGCUAGGGGAGCAAACAGGAUUAGAUACCCUAGUAGUCC
rnacentral:rRNA from 1 species